AAAAUAUAGAAAUAAAUAUUCCCACACAUUAAUAUUGUUGGCUUAUAAAAAGAAAACAUUUAAAACAGCUCAACUGUUAAAUUACAGUAUAAUCUAUAAUAGAAUAUUAAUACACACCCAUUAAAAAUAAAGUUUUUAAAAAAUAUUUUCUCUGAUGUGGAAAUCAGUAAGUUUCACCCCCAAAAAAGCAGAUAUAAAACUAUGUUGUAUACUUAGGAUUUUCAGCAGUGUUUUUUUUGUUUUUUAUCAUAAAAAAGUUGGAAGGAAAUACUAUGCCAAAAUAUUGUCACAUGUCCCUCAGGAUGAUAGAAUUAUGGAUAUUUUCCUUUUUUUUACUCUUAUGCACUUUUCAGCUUCUUACAAAAAGAGUAUAUGACUAACAAGU